UAGAUUAACCCUCUCUCUACUCUCUUUGAAUUGAUUUGAAUAAAUUUUGCUUUAAAAAAAAAAUGCUAACUGCAAACAAUUGUAAUACUAUGAAAUCAAUGAUAUUGUUGUUACAAAAUAUCACUAUGGAUAGUGCUGACUGAGUAGGGCAUCUUGCUACCUUAGUUUGAGCAAUGGUUUGUAACUAUAGCAUGACAUGUUUGAAUUAAAUGGCAUAUAGGUAGAUUUUAAUCUAAUGUAGUCCCUACCAAAAAAACAAGAAGAAGGUUCUUGAUGACUCAGCUGGCAAUAUAGCUUUACUAGUAUGGAGGAUUCAGGCAAAGAGUUGAGUGGAAACCAUAACAUGUCACCCCUUCUUUGGCAUUUGUCAGUGCAUUAUUGUAGUUUUUGUCCCCAUAAAUACUCAACUAUAUUGCUGAAUAUAUCGUACACCAUAUGAAGUCAAGAAUAUAUAUUCAAGAUACCUCUCAAUUGUUGUUCCAACAUAUAGGAAAUAAGUAAAUAUAUAGGUAACUUUAUACCUGAAUUUACUGUGCUAGUCAAUAUUAUUCCUCCUGUAACUUUAGCUUAUAUUUGAUAUUAGAAUGGAUAUGUCAGAAUCACGAUGAUCCAACACUAUAGCUUCUACAAAAUCACACGGAUCAUCGUAAUUCUAACAUAUCCACCCUGAUACCAAACACACACUUAAUCGUUACUUAUGAUGACAUAUCAUACUAAACGAUGAUGUGGUAGUCCAGUGUAAAACAUUAUUUAAUAGGACUUGAGUGGUAAAACAUUACUCAAUAGACUUACUCUUAAACGAGCCUAUCAAAUCUAAAAAUUUCAAACAUACACAUAAUUUCAAUGAAAUACUUCAACAUUUUCAAUUAAUUCUAAGAAAAUUCAAUGUGAUGAUAAUUAAAACUCAUUUAGACUACCACAUCAUCGUUUAAUGUCAA
rnacentral:lncRNA from 1 species